rnacentral:rRNA from 1 species
CUCUUUCGCCCGUGAAGAUAAUGACGGUAUCAGGUAAAGAAACCCCGGCUAACUCCGUGCCAGCAGCCGCGGUAAUACGGAGGGGGUUAGCGUUGUUCGGAAUUACUGGGCGUAAAGCGCGCGUAGGCGGAUUAUUAAGUCAGAGGUGAAAUCCCGGGGCUCAACCCCGGAACUGCCUUUGAUACUGGUAGUCUUGAGUUCGAGAGAGGUAAGUGG